GUGGGCGUGGAAAUUAGUGGGGGUUGAGCAACACUUUAUGGGAAUCACCUGGGGCUCUUAUUAAAACGCAAACUCACAGACCACGCGCUAAUCUCACUGAAGCAAAAUACCCGGCGUGCGGCCCGAGGAUUUGCACGCUAAGCUUUCUUCCGAGGCGAGCUGGGGCGGGUGAGAAUCGCUGGCUUACGGAAAUCCUGCACGUCUCCAGCUCCUGGCUGUUCCUUAGAACCGGCUCAGGAACGUUUGACAAAUCCUGGUAGGUGGGCCUCACAUCUGGGAGCUCCGAUUUAUUUGGUCAGGGCGAGGGCCACUGCCUGGAUCACAGGCAACCACAGCGCUCCGAGAAGAUUCCAGGGCUGCUGGUUCCACGGCCACGGUGCAGCUCAGGUCUGAGCGGCUCAGAAGGAGGAAGGCUGCCCGGGCUUGAAAUCCUCGCUGUGCAACCGACCGUGUGGGAGGCACUGCGCUGAGACUCAGCGUCCUCAUUCAGAAGAGCAGUGGUUAUCUCCUCAGGGAUUUCAGUCCUUCACAUUGUGAGAUCGCAUCCGCGCAUAUCCAGCAUUCCAGGGUUGGGGAACGUUCACUCUCCCGUGUUCUGUGCCGAGCCGUCUGAGGUGCCGGCAGUAGAUAACAGUGCCGAGAGUGCGCUGUCAAGCUCGGCGAUGAAGGCACGGGAAGACUCUUCAGCCCACAGCAGCUUUCCCCGCAUUGCAGUCAAGCUCACCUUGCCGCCAGGUGACCACGGCGAGGGACCCUGGGUUUCCUCCGUGGCUGUCCACACAAGCCGUCGUCCUGUUGGCGGUGGAGCAUCACCUGUGGACUUGUUUUGGCGCAGUCCUUGGGGCAUGGUACACAGCGUGCGGCUUCACAGCCACUGCGGAGUCACAGCACCCUUGGUAAAUGUUCUGACCCGCGCCACCGAAGCGCGCUCUAAAAUUCGCCUUCCCACAGAGCUGCUCGUCUUGGAUGCCUCCCCCAGGAGCGAGAGGCACAACGAUGCUUUUGGAGUCUAUGGCAGGCAGUUCUGGGCACAGGACGCAUCCUCGGUCCCGCCUGCUGAUCACCAGGCGACCAGCGUUCCCCGCAUUCCCAGGCCCUGCCCGUGGACCUGGGAUGACCACGCGGGGAGCUCUUUACUGAAAGGCUCUAGGCUUCUUAACCAAAGUCAUGAAGAGAGCCUGUUGCCCCUUCCCUGAGAAAAUAAAACAAUUCGCUGCUUGGGAAAGAAGGGCUGCGAGGGGAAGGAAAUGUCACUGAUCCAUAAGGGUCACCCAAACCCUACAGCGUUCUUCCGAAGACCAUUCGCUCUGGAAGCUCCUGUCUGUGCCGGACCAGAAAACACGAAGAGGUGAAAAUUCUGGACAUAGACUUGCGGUCUGGAGGUCGGUAUGUGUGCAGGGCUCGGCCGGUCCCCGAGGUCGCCUGAUGAGGACCCGCAUAAUCGCCUACUCUUCCCCUGAAAUUCACAUCAGCCACGUGUAUUUGUCGAAAUUGCGCUUGGGUGUCAUUCUCUGAUCUACAUUUUUUUAAAGCUGUCUCUCUUUAUGUUCUUUAUAUUAUUUUUAAUCUUUCGAUUUUGAUACAAUUCCAUAAUUAACUUUGGUUUUGCAGUUACACAGUUUGGGUUUCAAAAACCACUUCUGUCAUUUAUUAGCCAGGAAUCAUUGAUUUCUGAAAUCAUUUUUUUUACUUGAUAGAUGGAGUGUUGUAAAGGAUAAUGCUAAUAUAAGAAAAUUUCUUAGCACAAUUAAUAUCAUGUAGCCAUUUGAUAGAUAUUAAUCAUUGAUAUCUUUAAUUGCUUUGCUAAUAUGAGCAAUAGUAAAUAAGAAAACAAUGAAAGACAACAAUUGAAUAUGUGAUGCCAAGUAAACCUAAGCCAAGUAGGAGGAAGAAGUACUAGAGAUUUUUUAAAAAACAUAGAAUAUAAACAAUAAUAUUGAUAGAUCUAAAAACUAAUGCUUGAUAUACAUUCCUGUCAAAUCUAAUGGAGAAAAUAAAGCAACUAACAAUAGGUAGUGAUUGACAUAGUUAUGGGAACACUUUCCUAAUUCAUUGUUAAUAAACUUGAAACUUUGGUAACAUGCAUAAUUUUCUAGAAAAAUGCCUAUGUGAAAUCUCAGAGAAAAUAUAUCAGUAAUACCAGGAAGUUUGAUUAUAGAGUAAUUAAAUUCUAUUAUCAAAAACUCAAAAGGUUAGAAAACCACCAGUGCCAAGUGAUUUUGUUCUUAAUCCUUCCAAAUUUUCCAAGAGUGUUUCAUUCCUAUGUUAUGUACUUUUCUUCCAGAACAGAGGCAAUGAAGGAAAAUAUGUCAAAUUAUUUUAGUACAAUAACAAGACCUUAAUACAAUAAUUUACAAAAAUUACCAUCUAAUGCCAUGAAGAUAAAUGUGAAACCUCCAGAUAAAACCCUAGCACAUGUAAUUCGCUAUUUGUCAAAAGAAAACCUCACCACAAGCAAGUACUUUUUUCUUCCAUAAAUGUAAAAAUAUGUUACAUUAUUAUGCCCAAGGAAAAAAAACAAUCUGCUCAAAAUAGUUAAUAAGAAUUUCAAUGGCAAUAUGAGUAGCACCCUAGAAAUAGAAAAACAUAUUGUUGACAUUUUAAAACAAGAAUUGAUUUUUGCAAUUAAACUCCAGGUGCCUUGGCCUUAUACUUUCCCAAGUGUGUGAGAAGCAUUUGCAUUACAUUAAAAAAUAUGACAAUUCCUGUUGUAACUCACAAUAUUAAAUUUUACUUUGGCUAUUUUAGUAAAUCUGAUACUGUAUAAAAUAAAAGUAUUAGGAAUAACUAUUUAGAAAAUAAAAAGUAUUAUCAUUAAUAUUAUAAUUAUAAUUUUCCAAUUAAGACUAAACAAAAAUUUGCAAUUUGAUGAUAUGGUUCAAUAUACAGAUAUACAAAAAAAUCAGUAGUUUUUUCAUACUUGCAAUAAUUAUCUUAAAAUACAAUGAAAAUUAAUUAUAUAAUCUGAAAAAUAUGAGUUGCACAAAAAUAAAAAAGAAAUAUAUUUUGGGGAAUGUAAAUAAGGUUUUGAAUAAAUUAAAAAAUAUAUUCCAUUUCUAAAAAAGAACAGAUUUCUUUUGAGAGACAUUCUUGCUAUAUAGCUAAACUAGCCUUGACCUCCUGAUUCUCCUGCCUCAGCUUCAUGAGUGCUGGGAAUACACAUGUGUGCUAUCAUGACUUGCUGGAGUUUGAACUAUGUAAUGUGUUUCUUUAGAGAUCAGCUUGCAUGUUUAAUAUCAUCUCAAAUAUACCUCACAAGAUUUCUGUAUUCAAUUUUGAUUGUAAAAGAAUCAGUGUGUAAGAUACCCAAUGAUCUUCUCGAGGAAUAGGGAAAUGUAGGGGUAAUGUAUGUCACUUGUGAUUAAAAUGUAGCUUCAAUAGUUACUAAAGACAAUGUAUAAUGUUCAGUAAGAAGCUAAUAGGAAAGCUCAGAAAUAUUUCUUAUUACAUAUAUAAGGAUUUUUAAACAUGAUAAAUGUGCCAUUGUUAUGCUGGUAGUAGAAAUGAAAUAGCAUUAAUAAAUGAUGUUUUGUUCAUUACUUAGGUUUGAAAAAUACUCCAGUUAAAAAUAAUGCCGUAAAUAAUGAGUGGAACACAUGGAUGAAUUUCUUGCAGAUCAUGGAAUAGUUUACAUUGUUUUAAUGGUGAAGUAAUAAAGUAAUCACAAGACAAGAUUUGGAUAAAUCCAUAUUUCAACAUGCAAAAAUUACAUGUUAAAAUGCAUAGACAGUCACAUUUUGCACAUGUGAGAAGAUAACAUCACAAAUCAUGGUGGAAAGUGAGACAGCAUUUCAUACCUACUGAGAGGACCGUGAUGAAAGCAGGAGUGUAGGCCAGGACGAACUUGAAUCCUCGAGAGCUGCUGGCACCAUCUGUGUGAAAAACACCAUGGUGGUUCCUCAGGCGUAGUGAACAGAAUUACAUGUGAUCAGCAAUUUGACUUUUGAGUAGUGCCUAAAACAACUGAAGGGAGGAUUUGAACAGAUAUCUGUACACCUUUGGUCACAGAAGGCUCCUUACGACAGCCAAAAUGGAGGAACCCAAUGGUGCUUCUCACUUAACUAUGCCAAGUGAAACAGGCCAGCCAUGAAAUGACAAAUACUGUAUAAUUCCACUGCCUACAGUGGUCAACUUCACUGACAGAAAGUAUAGUGGUGAUUGCUCAGGAUUGGAGAAAGGGAUGAGUGUGUUGUUUAAUGGGCACGGGUUUCAGUUGGGAAGAUGAAAAUGUCCUAGAGACGGAGGGUGGUAAUGGUUGCCAGCUAAGGUGAACACACUAUGCACUUAAUGCCGCUGAACUAUGCACUUAAAAAUGCUAAGAACAGUAAAUUUUUGUUACAUGUAUUUUACCACAAGACAGUGGACCCUUGAUUUACAAAUUCAAUUUGUCACGAGGGCUGGUUGUAACUCAGUUGGUCUAUUGAAGGCUCAGCUCCUCCACACAUCCUUCAAAGUCUCUCUCUACACAGGUGAAUCUCAGUGUACUUAGACACUGGCCCAGGAUUUCUCAACCCCACACAGGAGAGAAUGCUGUCAUGUUCCUUCCAGAACUCUUCAAGGGUUAAAUCUGUAUCUGAGACCAUCUAGAAGCACAAGCAGCCAGUAUUCAGGUUGCAACUCAAGACUUUGUUGCUAAGUUAAAACUAAAAUUCCGGUCAUAACCGAAGUUGUUCGUAUGUCAGGCCAGUCAUAACACGAGGGUCCACUGGAAAGAAAACCAAAUACAUAUACUUCCCUUGAAAAAUUAAAAUGUAUGCCACAAACUAGGGAAAAUAUUUUCUACAGGCAUGCCAAAUUAUUAACAUACUUAAUGUAUAAUGUAUACUAUACUAACCCUAUGUCUAAAAAUGUAACCUUCAGUUAAAACACAAGUGAAUAUGAAUUGAUGAUACAGAGAUGGAAAGUGAUAAUAAAAUGUUCAAGCUCACUAGCAAAUAAAUGACAGUUCUAAAGUAAGAAUUCUAUUUUCUUCUCUCCUUUCAAAUUAGUGAAGGUUAACAGUUUGCAAACUUCCGUGUUGAUGUUUGUGUAAUGAUUUGAACACUUUCAUAUAGUGGGGAAGCAUAUCGACUGGUUAUAGCUUUUCUUGAAAUCAAUUAGGGCAAUAUACUUUAGGUCUAGAAAGUGUCCACAGUCUUUGACCAGGCCAUGUCUAUUGUUAGGAAUUUGAUGAAGGUAAGGGGAAGGGCAAAUAAAAAGGAUCAAAGUGUGAUACGUGUAUGUACUAAUUCCCCACAAUGGAUGUAUUUAUUAUGUAUUGCAAACAUACAAUAAUGAAAAAUACACAACAAAAAAGAAAACAUCAAAAGGCUUCUCAUGGCAUUAGCAUAAUAGUAAAAAUAGUAGUAAAUGGAAUAAAUAUAAUUCAUUAACUCAAUUUUGUUGAAAAAUAUAGAGACGAGACCAAAAGGGACAAAAAUAUGUAUAGCAGUAUAUUGUGGUAUUCUCAGUACUUGACUGAUGGACAAAUCUUUUCUUGUAAGUUUUCUGUUUAAAAAAGGC
ensembl:lncRNA